UGUAGGUAUCUGCCCUAUGGCCUGGAAUAACACGAGGAAACUUGUGCUAAUACCGGAUAAGUCUUUACGGAGAAAGCUUUAUGCACCAUUGGAUGAGCCUGCACUUGAUUAGUUUGUUGGUGGGGUAAUGGCCUACCAAGACUGUGAUCAAUAGCUGAUUUGAGAGGAUGAUCAGCCACAUUGGGACUGAGACACGGCCCAAACUCCUACGGGAGGCAGCAGUGGGGAAUCUUGCACAAUGGAGGAAACUCUGAUGCAGCGAUGCCGCGUGAGUGAAGAAGGCCUUUGGGUUGUAAAGCUCUUUCGUCGGGGAAGAAAAUGACUGUACCCGAAUAAGAAGGUCCGGCU
rnacentral:rRNA from 1 species